rnacentral:rRNA from 1 species
UACAGAGGUGGCAAGCGUUGUUCGGAAUUACUGGGCGUAAAGGGCUCGUAGGCGGCCAACUAAGUCAGACGUGAAAUCCCUCGGCUUAACCGGGGAACUGCAUCUGAUACUGGAUGGCUUGAGUUCGGGAGAGGGAUGCGGAAUUCCAGGUGUAGCGGUGAAAUGCGUAGAUAUCUGGAGGAACACCGGUGGCGAAGGCGGCAUCCUGGACCGACACUGACGCUGAGGAGCGAAAGCCAGGGGAGCAAACGGG